UACAGAGGUCUCAAGCGUUGUUCGGAUUUACUGGGCGUAAAGGGUGCGUAGGCGGCGGCGUAAGUCGAGUGUGAAAUCUUCCGGCUCAACCGGAAAAUUGCACUUGAUACUGUGUCGCUAGAGGACUGUAGAGGAGACUGGAAUUCACGGUGUAGCAGUGAAAUGCGUAGAUAUCGUGAGGAAGACCGGUGGCGAAAGCGAGUCUCUGGGCAGUUCCUGACGCUGAGGCACGAAGGCUAGGGGAGCAAACGGG
rnacentral:rRNA from 1 species